rnacentral:miRNA from 1 species
CCAUAGCACAGAAGCACUCCCA